UGCAUCAUUUCAUAGUAUUGAAAAAUCUCACAUAAAAAAGGAGCAAAUAGGCCCAACCAAAGAAAUAACCAAGCUCAUUCUAAAGGAAAGUGCACAUUAUUAUAAAGAGGUGACUCUCCAGUUAUUCCAGCACCAGUUAGGAAAUGAACCCUCUACCACCCCUCCUCCCCCACUGAUGUGAGAUGCUCUCUUUACCAAAUAAUAAAGUCUUUUGUGAUUUGGUCAA